rnacentral:rRNA from 1 species
AUUGAACGCUGGCGGCAGGCCUAACACAUGCAAGUCGAACGAGUGGCGGAAGGGUGAGUAAUGUAUGGGAAACUGCCUGAUGGAGGGGGAUAACUACUGGAAACGGUAGCUAAUACCGCAUACCAUCGGAUGUGCCCAUAGGGGAUUAGCUAGUAGGUGGGGGAAAGGCUCACCUAGGCGACGAUCCCUCGCUGGUCUGAGAGGAUGACCACCCACACUGGAACUGAGACACGGUCCAGACGCCUACGGGAGGCAGCAGUGGGGAAUAUUGCACAAUGGGCGAAAGCCUGAUGCAGCCAUGCCGCGUGUAUGAAGAAGGCCUUCGGGUUGUAAAGUACUUUCAGCGGGGAGGCGUUACCCGCAGAAGAAGCACCGGCUAACUCCGUGCCAGCAGCCGCGGUAAUAC